rnacentral:rRNA from 1 species
AUUGAACGCUGGCGGCAUGCUUUACACAUGCAAGUCGAACGAGUGGCGAACGGGUGAGUAAUAUAUCGGAACGUACCGAGUAAUGGGGGAUAACCAAGCUAAAGAUUGUCUAAUACCGCAUAGUAUUCGAGCGGCCGAUAACUGAUUAGCUAGUUGGUGGGGUAAAGGCCUACCAAGGCGAGGAUCAGUAGCGGGUCUGAGAGGACGAUCCGCCACACUGGGGCUGAGACACGGCCCAGCAUCCUACGUGAGGCAGCAGUGGGGAAUGUUGGACAAUGGGGGCAACCCUGAUCCAGUCAUGCCGCGUGUGUGAAGGAGGCCUUCCGGUUGUAAAGUACUUUUGUUAGGGAAGCGGUACCUAAAGAAUAAGCACCGGCUAACUACGUGCCAGCAGCCGCGGUAAUAC